rnacentral:rRNA from 1 species
CUUAGGAUGAACGCUAGCGACAGGCCUAACACAUGCAAGUCAGGGGCAGCACAAGGAGCAAUCUGAGGUGGCGACCGGCGCACGGGUGAGUAACACGUAUGCAACCUGCCUGUAAGCGGGGAAUAACCCGUUGAAAGACGGACUAAUACCGCAUAAUACUAAAUUACUGCAUGGUAAUUUAUUUAAACAUUUAUGGCUUACAGAUGGGCAUGCGCAUGAUUAGCUAGUUGGAGAGGUAACGGCUCCCCAAGGCAACGAUCAUUAGGGGUUCUGAGAGGAAGGUCCCCCACACUGGUACUGAGACACGGACCAGACUCCUACGGGAGGCAGCAGUGAGGAAUAUUGGUCAAUGGACGAGAGUCUGAACCAGCCAAGUCGCGUGCAGGAAGAAUGUCCUAUUGGAUUGUAAACUGCUUUUGCAGGGGAAUAAAGUGCAUCACGUGUGAUGUUUUGUAUGUACUCUGCGAAUAAGGAUCGGCUAACUCCGUGCCAGCAGCAGC